AUGAAUCGGACUACGGCCAACGACUCCGGAGGAAGAUGGCGGCGGGGGCGAGGUAUUUUCAAAAGAAAUAAUUCCAGAUUGAUGGAUGAAAUUUUAAGACAACAGUAGGAAUUUUGGGCUUAGAUUGUUCGAAAUACUCACCAGAGUUUGCAAAUAGUAAUGACAAAGAUGAUCAAGUUUUAAAUUGCCAAUCGGCAGUGAAGGUGCUCUCCCCAGAAGAUGGAAAAGCAGAUAUUGUGAGAGCUGCUCAGGACUUUUGCCAAUUAGUAGCCCAGCAGCAAAAGAGAUCCACAGAUUUGGAUUUAGACAUCUUCGACAGUUUACUUAGGUCAACUGGUUUUCCUGAUCCUGAUUUAGUAUUGAAGUUUGGUCCUGUGGACAGCACGUUAGGCUUUCUUCCCUGGCACAUCAGAUUGACUGAGAUUAUCUCUUUGCCUUCCCACCUGAACAUCAGUUAUGAGGACUUUUUCUCUGCCCUUCGUCAAUAUGCAGCCUGUGAACAGCGUCUGGGAAAGUAGUGAUCCCUGGUUGUGUAAUUUGAUUUCAGGCUUUUGGAGAAAAGGACCCAAGUGACUCUGAUGUUUACAAAGCACCUAUGAAACCCUGUACACACCUAGUUCAUAAUCCUCAUAAUUUAUCAACAAACACAAAAAAGUGUCUUACUUGAGAGUAAGAGUAUGUGUGAGUAUGAGUGCGUGUGCACACGUGUGUGUGUGUGUGUAUGUGUGUAAAUAAAUUUAUAAAUGGGGGAAGUAUUGGAGAAGGAAAGACGUAGACCUGCAGUUUGAGCAAAUAGCAGCAGUGUUUUAGGAGCUGAAAUUUCAGAUUUAAAGGUUUCAGCCUCCACUACUUCCCUGUUUUUGUGGGGAGCGGGGGGGUGACUAGAGCUAUUUGGUUGUUGUUUUGGGGGUAGGGGAAUAAUUUUUGUUCAGUCUUUCCUAGUGACCAAACUUAAUUUUUAAGAAUAAUAUGUUGACUUAUUAAAUGGAACCGUUUUGAGUUUGAGGGAUCUCCAGAGGAAUGGAGGUCUGUG